UUUUGGAGCCAGCUGCCGCAUUCUCCCUCCCACCCAGGACAGCCAGCUAAACCCAUUGGAGGAUGAGCAGGAGGAUGCUGGAGAGGAGCUUCCUCCUGAGAGCCAGGGUCUUUGUGACGUAGAACCCUGACAAUGGCCAGCUGGAAAGCCAGCCUCAUCUUGCCCUUCAGCAAUGGACCCUGAUUCCUGCCCUGCAUCGGCUGAGCCUGAGCCCCAGCCAGAAACCCAGGCUGCGGCCAAAGAGUCAGAUCCCCUGGAGGGAAUUUUGGCAUCCACAGCCCCUGCAACAGCCAGAACAUCAAGGACAGGGCCUCUAAUGCACUGCUGACAGGCUGGAUGACCUGAGGGGAAGAAAAAGAGACUCGGGAUGAGAUGUUUGCAGAACUCAUGGCAGAGUCAGAGGAAAACUAACUGGCUAUGAAGUGGAGGACCCAGAGGGAGAAAGAAGUGCACCUCUCCCAGAAGACUAUGGCAAUGGGUUUUGUUAAAACUGAAAGUGUUUGCUGUAAAAGCUGCAACCUUGAGAUCUCAGCCGUCCAUGUUAACACCUGCCAAAAGACGCCAAAGAAUCAGAAAGAGGCCACAUAGAAGCAAGGAAGAAAACAUGUUGCAUGAAGUAAUGCAGCAUGCAAGUAAUGAAAAUUAAAAAAAAGUCCAGGAGUGGUGGGACAGUGAAAGGAGGAUCGGCUAGCAGAAUGAGGAGUGCUGGCACAGAAGUGCAAUGCUCUAGCAGUAAAGCAUAAUGAUAAGCAUAAUGAAGCGCCAAGUGGACUCUAUCCAGGUGCUCCAGGUAAUCCAGAGCAUUACCAUGCCUACUCCCCCCCCCCAGCCCUUGUCCCAAAACUUUCCCUUGUGCCCCCAUGUCACCGCCAACCCACUUUCCCCAACAUCUGGGAUCUUACUGACAUCAGUUGCCUCCAACACCUGUAGCUUCACCACCCAGCCCUGACAACUACAACCCUUACCCACUGCACUCAACCCCCAUCACCAUGCAGUGUAGCCAUCCUGAAGUGCAGCACUCAUGAAACAGCACUCCAGACAGGAAGGCUGCAUAUGAGAACAGGACAUACGCAAAUCUGUGAUUGUACCAUUCCCCGCCCCACCCCCUUGCCCUUUGUUUCCCCAAGUAGUUGUUUCUUUUAAAUAAAUGGAUAUUUUGGGUUUUGAAAACAUUAUUGCAUAAAGUAAAAGAUACCGUAGUCCAGGAAAGAAACAGGCACUACAAGUCAGCGUAGCAAACACAGAUUCCUACUAACAUUGGAACCACUGCACUUCACUCCCAUGCAGGGCACCAGACAUUACUGGUGGCUUUCAGCCUCAAAUUGCUCCCUCAAGGCAUCCCUAAUCCUUGCAGCCCCGUGCUGGGCUCCUCUAGUAGCCCUGCUCUCUGGCUGUUCAAAUUCAGCCUCCAGGUGUUGAACCUCCGAGUUCCAUGCUUGAGUGAAUCAUUCACCCUUCCCUUCACAAAUGUUAUGGAGGGUAGAGCAUGUGGCUAUAACCACGGGGAUGAUGUCAUCGGCCAGGUCCAGCUUCCCAUACAGAGAGUGCCAGCGGCCCUUUAAAUGGUCCAAAGCACACUCCACAGUCCUUCUGCACUGGCUCAGCCUGUUGUUGAACCUCUCCUUGCUGCUGUCAAGGCUCCCUGUGUAGGGUUUCAUGAGCCAUGGCAUUAAAGGGUAAGCGGGGUCUCCAAGGAUCAUGAUGGGCAUUUUGACUUCCUCGACGGUGAUCUACUGGUCUGGGGAAAAAAGUCCCAGCUUCCUGAACAGACCAGUGUUCCAAAAGAUGCAUGAGUCAUGCACCUUUCUGGGCCAGCCUGCGUUAAUGUCAAUGAAACGCCCAUGGUGAUCCACAAAUGCCUGGAGAACAAUAGAGAAAUACCCCUACCAAUUAAUGUACUUGGAUGCUAGGUGGGCUGAUGCCAAAAUUGGAAUGUGUGCGCCAUCUAUCACCUCUCCGCAGUUAGGGAAACCCAUUUGUGCAAAGCCAUCUACAAUGUCAUGCACAUUACCCAGAGUCAUGGUUCUUCUGAGCAGGAUGCAAUUAAUGGCCCUGCAAACUUGCCUCAACAUGAUUCCAUCGGUCAACUUUCCCAUUCCAAAUGGGUUAGCGACUGAUCGGCAGCUGUCUGGAGUUGCCAGCUUCCAGUUUGCAAUAGCCACCCACUUCUCCACCAGCAGGGCAACUCUCAAUCUCGUGUCCUUGCACCGCAGGGUGGGGGCGAGCUGCUCACACAGUCCCAUGAAAGUGGCUUUUCUCAUUCGAAAGUUCUGCAGCCACUGCUCAUCAUCCCAGACUAGCAUGACGAUGUGAUCCCUCCACUCAGUGCUGGUUUCCUGAGCCCAAAAGUGGCGUUUCAUGGUGGUGAGCAUGUCCGUGAAUGCUACAAGCAAACUCAUGUCAUAUGCAUUACUUGAGUCGAUAUCAUUGGAGCCCUCACUGUCCCUUUGGAUCAUAAGGAAUAACUUGACUGCCAAACGUGAUGUGCUGGCAAGACUCAUCAGCAUACUCCUCAGCAGUUCGGGCUCCAUUCCUGAAGACAGAAAGGGAAGACAGAGCUCGCAGUACAAAAAAUGUUGAAAGAUGGUGCCAAAUGUGGACGGAAGCACAGGGAUUGCUGGGAUGUGAACCAAUGCAUCACAGGGCAUUGGGAUAGGCCCCAGAGUGCCCCACUCCUCCUGCCCCCUUCCCACAAGCCACAGCGCCAGAAUGGGAAGAGGUGCUCUGUGGGAUAGCUGCCCAUAAUGCAGUGCUCCCAAUGCUGCUGCAGUUGCCGCAAAUGUGGCCAUGCCAGUGCGCUUGUAGCUGUCAGUGUGGACAGAGUGCAGCGCUUUCCCUACUGCGCUCUCUGAAGGCGGGUUUAACUCUAUAUCUGCAAGUGUAGUCGUGCCCUUAGCAGCAUCUCCAAAAGAUAAAUCUUUUUGUAUUUAUAUAGGUUUAGCUUCUAGACAGGUAUUUCUUGUGAGAUCCCUUGAAAUAGACUUGACCAGUGUACAUGUGCUAUGGAAAACUAUUCCAAGGAAGUUAGAGAAAACUAUACUGUUUUAUCCUUGUCAUUGAAUGCAGAUGGAGAAAGGUUCAUAGGGGUGAGAUCUUUAUUGCAGCCACAGUUUGAGAAAAUCUCAAAACUUAUCAGACACAGUGUAUAGGUAGGGUGACCAGAUGUUCCAUUUUUAAAAGGAACAGUGCCUUUUAUGGGACUUCUUCUUGUAUAGGUGCCUAUUACCCCCCACUCCCAUUCCAUUUUUCCACAGUUGCUAUCUGGUCACCUUAUGUAUAGGAAUUGAAGUGCCUGAAUUCUUUCCUCAGGUCCAUUACGCCCCUACUUUCUUUAUUAUACAUGGGAGCAGGUAGAGAGGGUAAAAUAAUAUUUCAGACCCUAUAGAUCUGGAAAGAUGGGAUGUUCAUAGGGAUCUGUGUUGAUUUAAUUCUGCUCUCAAUAUGUCCAUCACAGUUGUACCAGUGUAUUCAAGAGGGGGCAUUUAGACAAUGCAGAAUGCUUCUGAAAGUCCCAUCCCUAGUCAGUAGUUCCAUCAGCACUUUAUCUGUAUUGAAGAGUUUAACAGUGUAUACUGCCCCUUUAAGGAGAAGAGUAGUUAGGGUAAGGAGGGUGUCCAGGCUACCCCGUUCUAAGUAGUCUUACCCAAACAAAGACCCUGGGGCAGGCGACAUGGAAGGAGAGUGUUACGGGGUCACUCACCGCCUUGGCACCUCCUGCUGGCCAUUUCAGGAUUAGCUCUGGUCAGUGGAUGUGCCCUCCGGUGGCGGUAGCUCUCCCGUCCUUGUCUCCACGACAAUUUCAGUCUCACUGCCUCUGCUUUGUGGCACAGCCCUCCGGCUGUGUCACAAUCUGGGUCCUCCCUUCUGGGAGACUCCUUCCACAGCAGUCUAGAUGCUCCUCACAGCAGCUUAGCAGGCCAUAGACUGGCCACUUCUUCAGCAGCAAGUGGUGUGUGCGAGGGAGACCAGGGCCUGCCCACUACUCUAGGUCCCAGCGCAGGGACCCUGUAAACAGCAGCUUCGUGCUGCCCCUCCUUUCUUUCUCCAUCAGUCUGUCUCAAUUCCCUGGCCACUUCCCCCAGCCCUGGCACCUUUGGCUCUUGCUACUGGUUCCUUUGCCCUCUUCCCAGGGCCUCGGGCCUGCAUGUCCUAGCAGCCCUGUUCAUGGUACUAGUUCUGCAGUCCUCAAGGAAGCUAGUCCCCUCCAUUGGGCUUUCUGCAGCAGACUGACCAGCUCUGGCCUGCAGCUUCCUUUUAUAUGGACUGUCUGGGCCCCGAAUGGCAGGUCCAGCUGCUGCCCUAAUUGGCUGCAGCCACUGCUCUAAUUGGCUGUUUUCCUUGUAGCCCUCCAGGCUGGGUUUUAACCCUAUCACGGCCAGUGCGGGGAAAAUGCCCCAUCACAGAGAGGAAAUGGGGAGAAUGAGUCUUGGAGAGAAGAGAUGACUGUUUCUUUAAGAGCUUGGAGCCAGGAGUUUUGUAGUGUAGGGUGUGGCAAGGCUCCCUUCUCCCCCAGUCAAUCAAGACACAAACCAUGGAGGGAGGAGAAAGCUCCUUGCUCUCAUUGUGAAGGCAGAUAAAACAGAGAGACAAUUUACCAGUGGACAUUCAAGCCCAGGAGGGAAAGGGGUGACCCAGCGUCAUCUUCUGAGGCUCUGACGGAGGGAUGGAAACCAGCCCCUGCUGCCCAGGAAAGCACUGUCCAGGAAGCACUUUUGCUAUCAAGCUUUUUUGUUUGAGGUAAUUUCAUUUUGAAUAAAUAAAGAUUUUUGGAUAAAUUUUGUGAGUAGCCCAGGUGCAGCUGAACCAGGGAAACUUAGAGGGCCUACCCAGACAGCAAGGGGGAGAGCAGCUCAGGAAAGUAAGCAGGAACACUGUGAUAAACAGUGUGCUCACUUAUAGGGCAACACAGUCUCUGCCCCAGAGUCACAUAGACCUUCUGGGUAGCUAGCCAGCCAGAGCACUAUAGAAACAUUGCAGUCUGUCUUUGAAAAUCACUAUGAUGACUGUAGCCUGCCAUGUUCUUCUGAUAGGAAAUGGGAAAGGCAAAGAGUACGGGAGAUCAGGCUCCACCCAAGACAAUGGUGUUUUCACGAACAUUGACUUCAAUGCCAUUCUUCCUUACCAACUGCCUGGAGACGUUCACAGCUUGAAAACGUGUGUGAAUGCAAUUACUGACACUAAGACCCCUCAGGAUUUCCUGGUCAUUCAAAUAGUUAUAACAUGUGAUUACAUGGUUUUGUUUAAAGGUACAGGUCUAUUCUGAAAGCGACUAAGUGACACUGUGGAGUUCAUGUACCUCUCUAUUUUUUCUCUUUGCCUUCUGACAAAGCUUUACAACUUUAAAAGAUAAAAACAAAUUAAUUGACUUUAAAUGAUGUGCUUCUGAUGUAUCACUAAGGCAGUGAGAAGUGUUAGCUGAAGCAGUGGCUCUCAAGCUUUCCAGACUACUGUACCCCUUUCAAGAGUCUGACUGGUCUUGCAUACCGCCACCUGACUUAAUAAAUACAUGCUUACAAAAUCAGAUAUAAAAAUACAAAAGUGUCUUGGCACACUUACAGAAAAAUUGCUUACUUUCUCAUUUUUACCAUAGUUAUAAAAUAAAUCAAUUGGAAUAUAAAUAUUGUACUUACAUUUCAGUGUAUACCAUGUAGAGCAGUAUAAACAAAUCAUUGUCUAUAUGAAAUUUUAGUUAGUACUGACUUCACUAGUGCUUUUUAUGUAGCCUGUUGUAAAACUAUGCAAAUAUCUAGAUGAGUUGAUGUACCCCAUGGAAGACCUCUGCGUACCCACAGGGAUAUGCGUACCCCUGGUUGAGAGCCACUGAGCUAAAGCAAUGGAAGGAGGGUGAGGCACUGAUGAUAUAGGACUAGGUGAGAGGUUCAGCUUUAAAAGAGUGUGCAGUAAAGCAGCAAAUUUGAAAGCCACUGAAUUAUGAUGCAUAUAAUCUUCACUGUGCACUCUUAAAUAUAUCUGUAACACUCACUCCUAGUUGUAGAUUUAUAUUGUGGACUACCUCCAACUCAUAAAUAAGUGAACUUAAAACUCAUUCACUUCUGGCUAACAAAACCAAACCCAGCAAGACAAUUUAUUGUUGCACAAUCUCCUUUCUGUGAUUGUGUACCUGAUCAUAGGAUGGCAAAUCCAAGAAAUGAGUAGUGCAUUCUUACGCAGAUACACUCUCAAUAGCUUAUUGUGUGCAAUAAACAUGAUAGUUCAGUGACUUCAGGAAAAUGGAUAUUGUAUUUUAGAGAUGAACUGAACUACCAGAAAGUAAUUUGGAUGGUAGUAACGAAAGGUAGUCACUUAAUUGUAGAUAGCAGCAGAGACUUUGUCUGCAUGUACAAUUUCAGAGCAAUACAUAGGGAGUUAAGUGUAAUGUAUGGACCUAUAGAAGUGAGCUGUAUAUGUGUCUUAAUUUCCUAUGCACUAUGCUGGACAUUCUCACUUCCUCUUCCCUAUCUCCAAUGCCAAUGGCACAUGUAAUUCCCCUCUCCUGCACAGAACAGAUGGGUGCAAAUACAUAGCUUGUAACAGAGGUGAGGUUAUGCCCGAGCAAGCACUGCGACAACAUACUCUUUGGGCCAGAUCUUCAGCUGGUGUAUAUUGACACAGCUCUACUGGCUUCAAUGAAGCUAUGCCAAUUCACUCUAGCUGAGGAUCCAAUAUUCCCUUCGUAUAUUCUGGUCAUCAGGCCACCUUUAUGUAUCAGUAACUAGAACUGAUCAUAAUAGAAUUAGAUAUAAACUCAGAAUCAGUCAGGCCACUAAUCCUGCAAGUUCAUCGUUCUGAGAGAACCCAGGAUAGCAAUUACUGUACAGAGCUUUAUAGUUGUUUGGUUUGUUUAAAAACAAAAUGCCUGCUGUAAACAGAAGAUAUUUCUUCACUGAUAAUUCGCAUUUUACAUGGAGCGUAGACCUUAAAUAAGCUGUGUGGCACAGAGACAUAAUUCCAUAGAGUUCUCUUACUAUUGCAAAAUGAGAGAAAAUCUGAAGUGUUUGUCAUUAGAACUUCUACAUACAAGUACUGCAAUGUCACCUAGUUGUUGGGUUUUUUAACUCUAGUACAUAUGAAGUAUUAUGUUAAGGCAUGUCAUUGCUGUUUCAAAUAUUUUCUGUUUAUUAUUUCCUAUUCAGAGCUGUCAAUCAAAAUGGUGUUAUUCUUGGAUAUGAUAUCACAUCUAAUAAUUAACAAGAUUUUUGACUGAGAGAACAGGUUGGUUAGUCAUGGAUUUGACAUCACAUCCACACGUUACAAAGUUUUCUACUGACUGGUCAUAAAUGAGACUUCCAUUGGUACGUGAACCAGAUUUUAGAGAUGUAGCUUGAGUAAAUUGAAAGGAAGAAGAGACAACCUGGUUAAUACCAGCUACAGUGCAAUGUAUGGAGUUUCUGAUUUCCCGUUGUGCUGUACUGGACCUCAGCAACAGCUAGGAUCAAACAAGUUUUCACCAUUGCUGUCUCUCUGUGUGAAUGUAGUUAUUUGAAAUAGAAAAGAGUAAGAAAAA